rnacentral:rRNA from 1 species
CCUACGGGUGGCAGCAGUGGGGAAUAUUGCACAAUGGGGGGAACCCUGAUGCAGCGACGCCGCGUGAAGGAAGAAGGUCUUCGGAUUGUAAACUUUUGUCUUUGGGGACGAAAAACUGACGGUACCCAAGGAGGAAGCCACGGCUAACUACGUGCCAGCAGCCGCGGUAAUACGUAGGUGGCGAGCGUUGUCCGGAUUUACUGGGUGUAAAGGGCGUGUAGGCGGGUUUUUAAGUCCGGUGUGAAAUCCCACGGCUCAACCGUGGAAUUGCACUAGAAACUGGAAAUCUUGAGUGCUGGAGAGGAAAGCGGAAUUCCUAGUGUAGCGGUGAAAUGCGUAGAUAUUAGGAGGAACACCAGUGGCGAAGGCGGCUUUCUGGACAGUAACUGACGCUGAGGCGCGAAAGCGUGGGGAGCAAACAGGAUUAGAUACCCGUGUAGUC